rnacentral:lncRNA from 1 species
CCAAUAAUCAAUACACAUCCACAUCCUAAGGUGAAAUACUAGGUCAAAUAAAUCUCUUAUCCAAUGACUCCUGCAACUAAUACUCAGUUCCUUCAGCUCUACUAGGGCCAUCAUAUAUAGAGGAAUAAAAAUGGUCUUGGUGCCCGAAUCAACAUCAAUAAUAAAACCAAUAUUUCGAUCUGAAGGCAUACUAGGAAAGUCCAGAGGGAACACAUGUAUAAACUCACAGACGAUAAAGACAGAAUCCAAGAAAGGAGGCAAAAUAACACUGGUGUCACGAAUAUGGUCCAAGUAAUAUAAACAUCCCCUC